rnacentral:rRNA from 1 species
UACGGAGGGGGCUAGCGUUGUUCGGAAUUACUGGGCGUAAAGCGCACGUAGGCGGCUUUGUAAGUUAGAGGUGAAAGCCCGGGGCUCAACUCCGGAAUUGCCUUUAAGACUGCAUCGCUUGAAUCCGGGAGAGGUGAGUGGAAUUCCGAGUGUAGAGGUGAAAUUCGUAGAUAUUCGGAAGAACACCAGUGGCGAAGGCGGCUCACUGGACCGGCAUUGACGCUGAGGUGCGAAAGCGUGGGGAGCAAACAGG